rnacentral:lncRNA from 1 species
UUGCAUUCUUUUUCCUUAUUCCCUGUAUCGCCAAACUACCCUUUCAAAACUUCUAUUUUUAUUUUUAUUUUCAUUAAUAAUAAUAAUAAAACUCUACCCUGUUUUAAGUAUUGUAACUCCCGAUCACCGCUACCCUUUCCGAUUGAUCUGAGCCUCAUAACUUAUGUCAGGGCUCUGCCCGACUAAGUUGUUGGGAUUCGGUCUCGGGACAUUGGGACAAGGUUGAAUUAGGGGUACUAUACUUACCACGAGUGCAAUAUAUAUUUUUAAUAGCUAAGAAAUUAUACCCAAAAUUUAUACCAGGAAAUUUCCUAGUUGAACCCUAAAGUUACAAAGCGGGUCCAUUCACCAUUUUAUUUUCUUUUUGUGGUUCACCCAAAACUAUUAUUUAUUAUUCUAUUUUGUAAACAACUCUCAUCAAAAGUCAUAUCAAUUAUUUUAUUUGCCCCAUAGGAAACCUUAAUUGAGACACCCAGGUAAUCCUAUACCACUCCUAAAAUUUCCAGAACAAUCAGAAUCAGGAUCAGGGCCCCUAAAACUCAGAGGGGGGUGUUCCCUACUCGAUGAUUAUCCAUAUGAAUUGUUGUCAAAAUUGAAAUUAUGAUUUCCAUCGACUCAGCAAGCCUACCCAGGAACGUGGCAACCCUAUGACGAAACGUGGCCCGUCACGUCACGCGGGGCCCCUAUGGGACCCCUCGCGUCACGUGAGGGGGUCAAACUUCAGCUAUAAAUAGAGAGGGGGUCGAGCAGUUCAGAAGUGCCAAUCAAAAUUCUCAAAAAUGAAAUCUGACUCCUUUAAUUCAUAAAAUACACUCACAAUAGCGAGGCGCUGCUACGAUACCAGGUAUUAACUUGAUCGCUGCUACGAUUCAAUGUCCGAUCGAUUGAAACUAUCCGACCGGAUGUUUAAGUGUUUCUGAUCCUGCUGAUACGGAAAGUCAGGAGAUACAUUAGAACCUGAGAAGAGCUUAAACUGAAAAACUAGGAUUUGAUCUCAAGGUGAUAGCAAAUUCCAGAUAGCGAUCCCAUCAUGAUGAAAGGGGGAGUCUGACGAGGCUAGAGCCAAAGAGAAGAUCCUGGUAUAUGCUAAGAAAGAAAAGAGACUAAUAAAGACUGAAGAUGCAAAGACUCGACACUUAAGACUCGUCAACAUCUGAGGGGGAGUCUGUUGGUGCAUUCAUCUGUCGUCUUCGUCUUAUGUCGAGUCUCAGUUUCGGUGCGGAUCUGAUCAAGGGUGACAUCAUCAAUAUGACAUCACAAGUGACAUCAUAUUGAUGACAUCACAAAUCAUCAUCCAUUACAUCUUCACAAG